UAAAGCCUACUGGGUUCGACACUCUCGAAACAUUUUUGACCCAACACGUUUUGUAAGGGAGUCCGGGCAGCCGGCGGAAUGCAGACCUCCCCUGCGGGGACGCUGGGAGCAUGGAAACCGUCUUAUGGACACCCACCUGUCUCAGAGGCAGGUCAUCAUCGUUUCGACACCGGCC
rnacentral:other from 1 species